rnacentral:lncRNA from 1 species
GUCGUCUACACCAUCGCAUGCAUCUACACCGGCCGCGAGGUUGUGUUCGGGAAGGUCAUGAGCGUGGUCCUGAGGGUCUGGAAGCGGCUGAUGGUCACCUUCCUGUGCAUCUUCCUGGCCAUGUUCGUAUACAACUUGGUCGCCGCGGUGAUCCUGGUCAGGUGCUUAAUCUUCGCCGGCGACACGAACUUAGGCAUCCCGAUCCUCAUCCUUGCAGUGAUCGCGUACUUGGUCGGGUUCGUUUACAUGAGCAUAGUGUGGCAAUUGGCGAGCGUGGUCUCCGUCCUGGAGGAAGAUUACGGGGUCAAGGCCAUGAUCAAGAGCAAGAACCUGAUAAAGGGGAAGAUCGUUGCGUCCAUAAUCAUAUUCUUCGUGCUCAACAUAUCCUUCUUUCUAAUUCAAUUCGCGUUCAGGAGGCGGGUCGUUUAUGAUCGCUUGGCAGGGACAUUAAGCAGGUCUGGCUAUGGAAUUCUGUGUUUCUUUCUUCUUUCCAUGCUGAUGCUGUUGGGGCUCGUCUUCCAGACGGUGAUCUACUUCGUCUGCAAGUCGUACCACCACGAGAACAUCGACAAGUCGGUGCUGUCGGAUCAUCUCGACGUCUAUCUCCUCGGAGAGUAUGUUCCUCUGAAAUCCAAGGAUGUUCAGCUUGAGCAAUGCGACGUUUGACUUUUUGUUCGUGUACUUCUUUUUCCUUUUUUUUCUGUUGGAACGAGAUAUUUUUAUACUUGAUACUUUAGGCACUAUAAAAAUAUCAAAGCAAAAAUAUAUUUUCUGUAUCCUUUUUAUCCAUUGGCAAAUGGCUAAGUUAGAUGUAUGCUCCUAAUUUCGUAUAAAUAUAUGCGAUAAUUAAAUCGGUCGUCUAUUAUUUUUUGUGCCUGGUGUGGCUGAUUUGACCCAAUGUCUUUCCCAAGGCGUGUUGACUCUUUCUCCUGAAUAAUGGAGUUUUCAAGUAAUUACGUGAUGCACGCUUAUGUGGACUUCAAAUUCUUCUUGGCCCAGGACAAAGAAAAAUAGUAGGUAGUGGAUGGGGCCACGUAUGUCAGAGAGAUAAGAGGAAGUUACCGAGAAAGUUCUAGAUCCAGUGCAAAUGUCAAUUCAAUAAUACGUUUUUUUUUAAUUUAAUCAAUUGAAUUUUAAUUCUUUUGUCGAUUUAUCAACUUAAUUUAUUUGGAAUCAUUAAUAUAAAUGAUAACCGUCCUAUAUGACAAGAUCAUCAUUAAUAUAAAUAAUUUUUUUAAUAAUUUUUUAAUUUUUUUGUCUUUUUUUUUUCCUGUUCUUUUUGCCAAUGGUUGGCCAUUGCCCAUAAUUAGCCAGAGUUGGCCUCACUUGGGUGAGGAAGAGCACCGAUUACCUUGCUUGGGCGAGGGUCGACUUGGCCAUAUUUGAUGAGGGUGGUCCUUGCCCUCCCCUAGGCUAGGCCUGAAGAGGGUCGGCCUUGCUAAAUUCAAAAAGGGGAGCUCUUUUCGGUGCUUGCCCUUGCCUAGGCAAGGCCUGAAGGGGCCAACACUAGUCAACCAUCACCUGUGGCCGAUGGCUGGCAACUAGCCAUCGACACCAAGGAAAAGGGAAAGAAAAGAAAAUUAAUUUAAAAAAAAUUAUUUAUAUUAGCACUAGCUGUACCACAUAAGAUACGUUAACGAUUUUUUUCCAAAAUGGACCUGGAUGGAUUACAUUAAUAAAAUCAUUAAAAGAUUUAUAACUAAAUUAACACAAAUAUAAUAGAUUUAUGAUUUUCUUAGUGAUUUCCUCGAGAGAUACAAGGUAAUGAUUUUUUCGUAUUAAUUAUCACUAUUGUGUGCUCGAAAUGAAACGAAUCUCUUAAAGAUUUAUUUUUCAAAAUUAGCGUUGGUCAAUUUAAAUUUCUUCUUCCAACUAAUUCCGUUGUUUGAGAAACAAGGUUUAUUAUAGAAUUGCGCACUCCUAAAUGUUAGCUUCGACGUGAUUUUUUACUUUUUAUUGAUGUGCAUUAAUUACAAGGAGCAACCUAAUCUAAAGCACAUUCUUUCGAGAAAAUAUUAGGUGAUCCUGAACCAUCAUGUCAGCGUGGUCUCCGAUCACUAGGAAGCGACACAUGGAGGUGUGGGACCGGCUCACCAGCAAAAGAAUUUAUGCACAAAAAUAAUUUCAUUUCUCCCUCACUAGCCUGCACACGCUAGCCCCUAAGCUCUCUUUCUCGUUCUUUGCACACAUUUAUUUCUUUGUCUCAUAUUCUCUUUCCUCUUCGUGCUUUUCUUCUCUGAAGAAGAAGAACGAAGAGCAAACCUCUUUCCUCUCUACCGAUCGCUCUCAAAAAUUGAAUGUCUUUCUUCGCUCUUAGAUCUGACUAUUUUGCGCUCGUUGCUGCCCUGGCGUUCGUCAAAUGGCCGUUCCCCUGCCGUCGGCUGCCCCUCGAGCGCUCGAAAGGGAGUGAGGCAGAGGCAGAGGCAGAGGGGCCGGUGACUGCCCUCAAGAGAGCUUCGGGUUCUCAAAGUUCUUCGGGAGCAAGUAUGAGCUUAAUAUAAUUCCUAACAUAGAGAACCCGAAUGAAAACAAUGCAGAAUCACCGUAAAUGAGCAGUUUCUCCAACCCAUUUAGAGUUUUUGGAGGUUCAAAUAUUUGAAAAUGAAAUCGCCGAGAGAUUCAAAAGCAGAUGGAACUUUCAAAAAGCAUUCUGCCUCCAGAUAAGUUUAGAACGAAUGCGUUGCGAAAAGUUUCUUAUUCUUCCCCUCCACCCUCUCUUCUUCUGUCAAAAUAGAUGCGAAAGCAUAAUUCUUUAUUUUUUCUAUGGUUGGAGAAACUACUGCAAAAGAGAGAUAGAGCAUCGAUAUAGACGAACAAUCUGUGGAUCUAAUUUCGUCCGGUCCACAAGAUACCAAUACACCAUUUCACUUGGAAUCUUCUACGUGAAAUUAACUAAUGACUGUUCAUUUGACAUCGCCAAGAAUGAAAGUAUAGUUAACGUGUGGCGAGAAAGGAAAAAAAAAGGCCAGACCCAAAAGAAGAAACCGCCAUUGGAGCACCCCACAAGUCAAAGCUUUUCGAUUCCCCAUUAUCAAACACAACCAUCUAAUAAAUGUCCCCUAGAAGGUUACGUAUAAACAUGCGCUAACAAAAAUAGAGUUGGCACAAUUUAAAAACCAAGAGAAAAAGAGAAAAAAAAAAGAAAAGGGCUAUGGGGUGUUUGGUUGGGCAUUCCCAAGGGGCUUUGAGCCCCCAAAGUUCAUUGGGGGAAAUUUUGGGUGUUUGGUAAAUUUUUGAAAGCCCGUUUGCCCAAAUAUGAGUAUUUCGAAAGCUGAAUGUUGAAAGCUGGGGAGGGGCGGCAUUGAGCAUUCGGCAUUUGGAAAAUGCAAAAAUCACUGUUCAUUUAUCUUUCACCUUCAUCUUUCUUCUUCACAACGUCUUCUUCUUCCCGGCGUCAUCUUCUUCUUCCCGCCCAUCGAGCUUCUCCAACAGUCACCACCGCCGCUUGAGGGUCGCGCUUCCCUAGUGACCACUGCCUGGGGGUGGCACAACGCGCAACCCAGGCGGCGUCACCUAGCACGUGCGAACCAGGCGACGCCGCCUAAGGUCGCGCAGACCCAGGCGGUGUCGCCUGGUUCUCGCCAAAUCUUGCCUCAGGCGCCUGAGGUCACGAAGACAACGUUGCUUGAGGUCGCGGGGUCCGCGCGACCUUAGGCCACCGGAUCUGGCGGUGCGGAGGCCAAAUCUAGCCUCUAGGCGCCUGAGGUCGCACUCCCAGGCGAUGACGGCGUCGCCUGAGGUUGCGACCUCAGGCGGCCGGAUGGCUAGAUCUGGCUGCCGAAGUUGGCCGGCAGUUAGCCGGCUGCCAUAUUUGAUUUUCAAUUUUUUUUUAAAAAUAAAAUAAAAGCAAAAGCCCAUUUGUAAUGUAAAAUUUACCAAACGGUAUUUAUAUUAAAGUUGUAUUUCAAUGCCAUUUGAGACUAUAAAUUACCAAACGGUGUAGCAUUUUGGAAAGCCAAAGGCCCGUUUGGUUCGGCUUUUGGGGAAUGCAUUUACAGUAAUGCAAAUACCUUUGGGUGAAAGGGGUUUUUCGAAAUGCAAAUAUCGUUUAGUAAAAUUUACAUUAAAAAACAAUUUUGGCAUUGGUAAAAUUUGCAUUUGUAAUUAAAUUUUAUUAAAUUAAAAAAGCAAAAAUAUAUUAUAUAUAUAUUUUUUGAAGUCCGGCCACCGGACCGCCUGAUCUGGCGAUCGGACCCCUGGAUGGUCGCUAGGGUCAAGUGACCUAGGCGACGGCCGCCUGCAUCGCUUGGGUUCGCACGACCCAGGCGGCUGUCACUUGGGUCGCACGGCCUCAGGUGAUAGCCGCUUGAGGUCGCGCAAACCCAAGCAACAACUGCCUAGUCGCUUGAGGUCGUGCGACCCAGGCGAUGGUCGCCUACAUUCGUGCGACCUCAGGCGGCCGUCGCCUGAGGUCCGGCGACAGUCACUGGGGUCGAGCAACCCUCAGGUGGCGGUCAUCGGCACAUCGCAGGUGUGCACGACCCCUUGGCCGGUGGUCGUCGGCCUCCAAUCGACGGUGGCUUGGAGAAGAUGAACAGUACCGACUUGCAUUCCCAGAAUGCAACUUGCCAAUGCACCUCAAGAGCUCCAUUAAGCUAAAGUCUUUUAGACUCCUUUGGAAAUGCAAUUGCAUCUUGCCAAAGUCACGCAAAAAUACGAGUCAAACACGUUUGCAUUUGGCCAAGGGACAUUAGACCCCAAAUGAGUAUUUCAAAUGCUGAACCAAACAGAGCCUUGCAUUCUCCUAAGGGCAUUUCCCCAAAAUCGAAUAAAAAAUGUUGCCAAACUAUUUUCUAUACACAAACAAAUCAUCAUCUAAAAUCCCCUCCCCUAAAGUCUUCACUAGCAGCUUCACACUCUUCGGCUUCUUCACCUUCGCGGCGGCAACCUUCUUCACAGCUUUCUUCUCGGGCAUCGCCUUUGCAGAAGUCUUCAUUGCUUUUGCAGCGAGCUUCAACUUCGGCUUCUCGGCUUCACACCCGCCGCUUUGGGCUUGGUGGCAACAACAGCCUUCGCCUUGGGAGCCGCCGUCUUCGGUUGCCGUGGAUUUCAAAUUUUGGUCCUUAACUAUCACCAUUCGUAAAUGUUAGCUAACCGUUUUUUAGCAGUAAAAUUGCACAAGAACUAAUGGUGGCAAUCGGCGAUGGACAGCGAAGUCAGAUAGAAGCCAAACGAGUUGCCUUCCCAAUACUCCGAACUUCUCUUUUCUAAAAGAAAUGCCUCUUCUUCAAUGCCCUUUCCCAAGCUCGUCCCCAAGCUCGUACUUGUUCUUGAAGAACUUCGAGAACCCUUUUCGAGGGCGGUCACUGGCCCCUUGACCUCUGCGUCACUCCUUCUUGGGCGUGUGAUAAUGUGCUUCGUCGACUACGGUGGGGGAAUGGCCGCUUGACAAACGUCGGAGAAGGAACGAGAGUGGAGUAGCCAAAUCUGAGAGGAAGAGAUUCAAAUUUUGAAAGUGUUUGCUAGAGAGGAAAGAGGUUUUCUCUACCUCUGUAUGGGGGCUAGUGUGUGCAGGGUAAUGAGAGAGAAAUGAAAUUAUUUUUGUGCAUAAAUUCGUUCAGUUGCGAGCUGGCCCCCACACCUCCACGUUUCGCAACCUAAGUAGUUGGAGACCAGGUUGACUUGACAGUCCGGGACCACCCAAUAUUUUCUUCCUUCCUUGGGCGAUCUACCACAUUGAUAAAUACGACGAGCAACCUAACCCAUGUAACUAUUUCAACUUGGUGCAUUCCUCUUUGGUUGCUUUGGAAACACUAUAUUGUAUUUUAAAAAAUGCUAGUCAUGGAGCAAACAUAACUCCAACCCAUAAAUCCAGCUUUGGAGAAAUCGUCAUUUCAGUUAUUCAUAUCUUAUGAAUUUUAAUUUAGUUCUAAAUUUUUCAAUUGAUCCGACUGAUCCUAAAACUUUUAGUAAAAGAAAAACGAUCAAUUUCUCUCAUUCAAAUCUCAUAUGUUUUUAUAAUUUUCCAUUGAUUUUUUUAUUUUUUUUGAUAACUUCAUUCACUUCCAUUAUUCAUGUUAUCUCACAACAAAUGCAUCUUCUGCACCCAGUGAUGUAAGGAAUUUUUUUUUCCUUUUUGCCUCAAUUGAAAAUAUACAUUGUCGGAAUAAUUGCCAAAUGCAUAAUUUCCUCUACAAUUAUUUGCCUUCUAAAAGAUGAGUUUCUCUGAUCAUCAAUUCACUUGUUUUCUCGUCCGCCUCCUUUUUCACAACAUAAAACUACACUGAGCCAACCAAAAUUUUGUGACUUGUACAAUACUCCAAAUCUACAAGCCCAAUAUCUUCUAUUGAUCAUGCUGAGGAUGCAUCGUCCAAAUCAUAUGAUGGCAUAACCUUCUUCGACUUAUAGAUAAAAUCAUCGAAUGUACAAAUCUAGGUAAAUGAUAAAUUCUUUCGCUUACUCUAAUGUUUUAUUGAUACGUACUCAUCGAAUGGAUAAUUUGUGGUUGACUUUCAAAACUUUCUUAUUCUCAUCAGCAUGGAGAAGCUAGAGAUGUUGGUGCCAUAUUUCAUAUCAGUGUUGAUUGUCCAUUACAAAUGUUAUUGAGGGUCCAUUCAAUGAUCCCUCAUCAAGUUUUUCUCGUAAUCUGCCGUGUAGAUGGGUCGGAUCUUGCAAUAUUCACACAUAACCGACGCAAUCCGAUUCAAGCCCUUGAGAGUUACAAACCUGCCACCCAUCUUUCUCUUUCUUGGCCAUUCCGAGGUUCGAUCCCAUGUCUUGUCCCUUGGUCUCCAACCCCGCACCGCCACGGACCGCCGCGCCCGAUGGCUCUGUUUUCUCCAUCUGGGUUUGUCGGAGUCAAGCCGGGUCUUUCGCUUUAGACCCCAAUCAUCAUCCUUUUGCAUGAAGGCCUGCCGUCUUUUGAAGGCCCAUAGCUGGUUCCUAAGACCCAAGCUCGCGACAGCUCUUUUCGGACCAGAAAAGCAGUUGCCAUAUGAUAAGCGCCACUCAAAAGUGACAAUUGAUACAAAGAAACUGUUUUGCUCCCGCGGAAAAGCGGUUCUUCGGGGAUUUGUUUAUUGCAGGGGAAGAACUGGAAAGGCAAGUGAAGCUCGUGCUCGUGGGGUUCUCUUCCCUAGUGCCCCAUCAUCUCUCUCUCUCUCUCUCUCUCUCUCUCUCUCUCUACCCCUCUACUUUUUCAUUCACAUCUCUAUCAUUGAUUUCUCUGUUCAUUCUGAGCUCUGAACAAGGAGUUCCUCCAAACAAAUCCAAUCAUGGUGAAGGAGACCGAGUACUACGACGUUCUCGGCGUCAGCCCUUCUGCCUCCGACGACGAGAUUCGCAAGGCCUAUUAUCUCAAGGUAAAAGAGGCUGCUCUGUUUUCCUUUUCCUGGUUGUUGGAUCGGUCACAUUAGUGACGGAUCGAUUCGAAUUUUUUUUCACGACGAUGUUUUAGUAAACCGAAGCUUCUGGGAUUAGUUCCAAAUGUGAUUGAUCGUCUGAUCAAUCGAUUCUACUGAAUCGAUUACUCAUGCCCUUUUCCUUAUGGUCGGGUUCAAGAAAUGAAGAAGUCAUUAUCUAGCUGGUCCACUAUUUUUUUGGUGAUUUCUUCCGAACUAUGAUAAUUAGUAUAAGUGUUUGAGUUAAGUGCACUGGAAGAGUCUGCGAUAGGCUGACAAAAGGCUCAUAUGAAAUUUGGCACUUCAUUUAAUAAGUCAACUUAAUUUUACCAGUCUUGGUCGAGCGAUAUCGCUUAAUGGAAGAGACUUAGCGUUGCACUACGCUUUUUUAAGUAACCAAUUAAAAUGUGCCCCAUCCGAUGCAUCACCUAUUAUUCUUUACUGAAAAUAUCAUAUCCUAAUCAUGGUCACCUCACCAGCCUACAACAAUAGACAUGUAUGAAAAGUGUUAGCAAUAUUUAUUUGGCAGUAGACAGAAAAAUGAAAUUAGGAUUGAAAUUAAGCAUAUUGACUAGAUCUCUUGCCAUAAAUUUAUUUGUCUUUUUUGCCAAUCUUCAUCGUCGAUCGAUUGGACAAUGGGUGCGUUUGGAAAGACUUUUGGGGAAAGUCUUAGAGGAAAUGCAAAGACCAUUGAGUUAAAUGUAUUUUUCAAAAUGCAAAAUGUGUUUGGUAAAUUGUAUUAUUAAAGUCCAUUGUGAAGUAUCUUCGAGUAAAAUGGUAUUUGGAAGAAUUAUAUUUGCCAAAGGCUUUUGUUAUUCAUUCAAAAAAAAGAAAAAAAGAAGUUGACCAGCUAAGAACAAGUAGUCACCGGUGAGGAGCAGGCGGUCCGGCAAAGAGCAAGCAGUCCGAUGCAAGUUGUUCGGUAGAGGUAGGCGAUCUGGUGAGGGUUGCAGGACCCAUAUCGCGAGGCCUCGCUGGAGGUCGCGGCAUGUCGGGGCAAUCCUCCGGCAAGGGUCGUUGGAGGUUGCAGGACCUCGCGGCAACCAGCAUGACCCAGAUGUGGUCGUCGGAGGUCGCGCGACCUUGUGGUGACUAGAUCUGGGUCGCGCCUGAGGUUGCUUGACCCAUAGCUGAGUCGCGGUGACGCGACUAGUGGGCGGUCACCAAGACUCAUGAGCGGUCACCGAGCCAGGGUCGUGCGACUAGCCAGUGAUAGUCGCUGCGACCUUGCUAACCUCAGUCGUGACCUCGUUGGCCUCUCGAGCUCGUCUUUGAUUAGCCACACCGCUGGAGAAGAAGACGAUGAACAAUAGACAUGAGGCUUCCUUCCAAGAAUGCUGAAAGCCCAAGCCAACCUAGGACUUGCCUUGGGCUUUUAAUCUUACAAAUGCCAGCUUUGCCUUAAUGGGACUUCCAAAGUAGUUCACAAACACCUUCAUUUUGGUCCAAAGGCCUUCAGGCCCCAAAGAUACUUGGCAAAGUGGUUCCCAAACGCAGAAUGACAAACUUGGGUUUAGGUUAUUUUAAUUGUCUACUAGAUGCAUUUCGAGAUUGAAAAGUCCAACCAAACCUCCUACAAUCCUCUUCAACUACUCUCUCCCUUCUUUUCCAAUCGUUUCUUCCUUCUUCUUCUUCUUCUUCUUCUUCUUCUUCUUCUUCUUCCGAUGUCGUUUUUCUUCCUUCUUCUUCGUCUUCUCUUCCUCAAGAAAAUCUUUACUGAACGUCAAGGGAUCGACAGAAACAUGGAUCGAGAGCAAGAAGAGAUGCAGUUCCUCAGCUUCUUCGGCAUCUACAAAGAGUCCUACAAGGACAUCUUCUCAUGGAGGAAAAUCUUCACCCAGAUCAACACGGCCCUGAUCCUCCCCCUCGCCUUCGUCUUCCUCAUCCACAUGGAAGUCUCCGACAUCCUCUUGUCAAAGAUCGUCAGCAACGAGAUCCAGCUCGACGAGACCCGCCCCUAUACUUCCCGCCACGACAGGAUCUCCCGCGUCCUCUCCAAGGAGUGGGCCGUCUUCCUGCUGAUCAAGGCCCUCUACUUCACCGCCCUCCUCAAGUUCUCCCUCCUCUCAACCUCAGCCGUCGUCUACACCAUCGCAUGCAUCUAUACGGGCCGCAAGGUCGCGUUCGGGAAGGUCAUGAGCGUUGUCCCGAGGGUCUGGAGGCGGCUGAUGGUCACCUUCCUGCGCUUCUUCCCGGCCAUGUUCGUGUACAACGUGAUCGCCGGGGUGAUCCUGCACACGUGUGCAAUCUUUGUCGGCGACUUGAACUUCGGCAUCCUGAUCCUCAUCCUUCUAGGGCUCGCAUACUUGGUCGGGUUCAUGUACAUGACCGCAGUGUGGCGAUUGGCGAGCGUGGUCUCCGUCCUGGAGGAAGAUUACGGGGUCAAGGCCAUGAUCAAGAGCAAGAACCUGAUAAAGGGCAAGCUAUUUGUGUCCACGAUCAUAUUCUUCAAGCUCAGCACAUCCUUACAUCUAGUUCAAUUCGCGUUCGAGAGGUUGGUCGUUUAUGGCCGCUCGGCAGGGACAUUAGACAGGUCUGGCUUGUUUCCAUGCUGAUGCUGUUGGGGCUCGUCGUCCAGACGGUGACCUACUUCGUCUGCAAGUCUUAACACCACGAGAACAUCGACAAGUCGGCGCUGUCGGAUCAUCUCGAGGUCUAUAUCGGAGAGUAUGUUCCUCUCAAAUCAUAACACCACGAGAACAUCAACAAGUCUGCGCUGUCGGAUCAUCUCGAGGUCUAUCUCGGAGAGUAUGUUCCUCUCAAACCCAAGGAUGUUCAGCUUGAGCAAUACGACGUUUGACUCCUAGUUCGUGUUCUUCUUAUGCUUGUUCCUUUUUCUGUUUUUCUUCAGUGGGACGAGAUAUUUUGAUACUUGAUAACUUAUGCACUAUAAAAAUAUCAAAGGAAAAAUAUAUUUUCUGCAUCUUUUUAGCCAGUGGCAAAUGGCUAAGUUAGACGUAUGCUCUUAAUUUUGUUUAGAUAUAUGCAAUAAUUAAACCGUAGUCUAUUAGUUUUUGUGCCUGGUGUGGCUGAUUUGAGCCAAUAUGUCUUUCCCAAGGCGUGUUGACUUUGAAUAAUGGAGUUUUCCAAGUAAUUACGCGAUGCACGCUUAUGUUGACUUUGAAUUCUUCUUGGCCGAGGACAAAGAAAAAUAUUAGGUAGUGGAUGGGGCCACGCAUGUGAGAGAGAUAAGAGGAAAUUACCAAGAAAGUUCUCAACUUUGUUCCAAUGUCAACUCAAUAAUAAAUUUUUUAAUUUGACAAAUUGAAUCUUAAUUCUUUUGAUGAUUCAUCAAUGUAGUUCGUUUGGCCAAUUUUGAUGGAGAAUCGUCGAUGUAAAUACCGACUAUCCUAUGUGACAACCAUCAAUAAUAUAAAUAACUUUUUAAUAAUUUUUUUCAAUUUAUUUUUUUAUUCCCUUUUCAUUUUGCCAGUGGUUGGCCAUCACCCAUAGAGAAUGGCCGGUGAGAGUUGGCCUUACUUGAGUGAGGGCCAACGUAAGCUAUCUUAGUGUGGGCGAGGAUAGUCUCGCCAUAUUUGGCAAGGGUGGUCCUUGCCCUUGCCCGGGAUAGGAAUGGACUGGGCUUGGACUUGCCAAAUUCAACAAGGGGAGCCCUUAUUGAUGCUUGCCUUGGCCUAGGCAAGGCCUGAUGGGGCCAACACUCACCAACCAUAGCCUAUGGCCGGUGGACAGUGACUAGCCAUUGACAAAAGGAAUAGGGAAAGAAAAAAAAUUAAUUUUUUUAUCAAUAUUAUCUAGAUCGGCACUAGUUGUGCCACGUAGGAUCACAUCGGCAGUUUUAUGCCAAAAUUGACUUGGACUGACUACAUUGAUGAAAUCAUCAAAGUAUUUAUGACUAAAUUGAUCAAGUCAAAAAGUUUAUGAUUGAGUUAAUAUCAAUGUAAUAGAUUUAUGAUUUUCUUAGUAAUUUCUCUAAGGGAUGGUGAUGAAUUUUUCGUAGUAAUUAUCACUAUUAUGUGCUGAAAAUGAAACUAAUCUUUUAAAUAUUUAUUUUUGAAAAUUGGACGUUGGUCAAUCUAAAUUUCUUCUUCCAACUGAAACAGGGUAUAUUAUAGAAUUGCGCACUCCUAAGUAGUAGCUUCAACGUGAUUGUUUGUGUUUUUUAUUGGCGUGCAUUAAUUACAAGGAGCCACCUAAAUCUCAAGCCCCUUCUUUCGGCGAUCUACCACAUUAAUGAAUACGAGGAGCAACCUGACCCUCCAACUUGGCGCAUUCCUCUUUGGUCACUUUGGAAACACUCCAUUGUAUUUGAAAAAAUGCUAGUCAUGGAGCAAAGAUAAUUCCAACCCAUAAAUUCAGCGUGGGGGUAUAGAAGCCUUUGGAGAAAUCGUUAUUUCAGUUAUAAUCCCAUUCUACGAUUUCAGUCUAGUUCUAAAUUUUCGAUUGACCUAAUGUAAUACUAGAACUUUUAGUAAAAGAAAAACAAUCAAUUUCUCUUAGUUAAGCCCCACAUGCUUUUAUAGCUUUCCAUUGAUUUUUUCUUUUUCUUUUUCAAUAACUCCGUUCACUACCAUUAUUCAUGUUAUUUCACAACAAAUGCAUCUUGUGCCUGCAGUGAUGCGAGGAAUUUUUAUUUAUUUAUUUUUAUCUCAAUUUGAAAUAUACAUUGUUGGAAUAAUUGCCAAAUGCAUAAUUCCUUUUACGACUAUUUGCCUUUUGAAAGAUGAGUUUCUCUAAUCAUUGAUUCAGUUAUUUUCUUGUUCGCCGUCUUUUUCCAUUAUAACUUUGUGACUCGUACAAUACUCUAUAUCUACAAGCCCUCAAAUCUUGCCUAACCAAUAGCUUUGCCAUCUUCUAUUGACUACGCUGAGCAUGCAUCGUCCAAAUCGUAUGAUGGCAUAACCUUCUUCAACUUAUAAGUUAAAUCAUCAAAUGUACAGAUCUAGGUGUAUGAUAAAUCCUUUCGUUUACACUGAUGUUUAAUUGCUACAUACUCAUCGAAUGGAUAAUUUGUGGUCGAUUUUCGAAACCUUUUUAUUCUCAUCAGCACGGAGAAGCUAGAGAUGUUGGUGCCACAUUGCGUAUCAGUGCCGGUCCAUUAUUAACGUUAUUGAGGAUUCAUUCAAUUGUCCCUCAUUGAGUUUUUCUCGUAAUCGACCGUGUUGUCAAGUCGGAUCUUGCAAUAUUUGGCAUAGCUGAUGCGAUCCGAUUCGAGCCCUUGAGAGUUACAAACCCGCCACCCAUCUUUCUCCCUCUUGGCCAUUCCGAGGUUCGAUCCCAUGUCUUGUCCCUUGGUCUCCAACCCCACGCCGCCACGGACCGCCGCGCCCGAUGGCUCUCUGUUUUCUCCAUCUGGGUUUGUCGGAGUCGAGCCGGGUCUUUCGCUUUAGACCCCGAUCAUCAUCCUUUCGCAUGAAGGCCUGCCGUCUUUUGAAGGCCCAUGGCUGGUUCCUAAGACCCAAGCUCGUCGACAGCUCUUUUCCUACCCGGAAAGCCGGUUCCAGAAAAGCAGUUGCCAUAUGAUAAGCGCCACUGAAAAGUGACGGUUGAUACAAAAGAAACUGCUUUGCUCCCGCGGAAAAGCAGUUCUUUGGGGAUCUGUUUAUUGCAGCGGAAGAACUGGAAAGGCAAGGGAAGCUCGUGCUCGUUGGGGUUCUCUUCCCUAGUGCCCCAUCAUCUCUCCCUCCCUCCCUCUCUCUCUCCGUCUCUCUCUCUACCCGUCUACUUUUUCAUUCACAUCUCUUUCAUUGAUUUCUCUGUUCAUUCUGAGCUCUGAACAAGGAGUUCCUCCAACAAGUCCAAUCAUGGUGAAGGAGACCGAGUCCUACGACGUUCUUGGUGUCAGCCCUUCUGCCUCCGACGACGAGAUUCGCAAGGCCUAUUACUCAAGGUAAGAGAGGCGGUUCUGUUCUCCUUUUCCUGGUUGUUGGAUCGGUCACAUUAGUGACUGAGUUGUGAUUGGUCGAUUCGAAUUUCUUUUCAUGACGAUGUUUUAGUGAACCGAGGUUUCUGGGAUUAGUUCCAAAUGUGAUUGAUCGUCUGAUCAAUCGAUUCUGCUGAAUCGGUUACUUCUACCCUUUUCCUUAUGGUCGUGUUCAAGAAAUGAAGAAGUCAUUGCCUAGCUGGUCCACUUUUUUUUUUUUUUUUUUGGUGAUUUCUUCCGAACUAUGAUAAUUAGUAUAAGCGUUUGAGUUAAGUGCACUCGAAGAGUUUGCGGUAGGUGGAUUGCUCGUUUAAAAGGCUCAUAUGAAAUUUGGCACUCCAUUUAAUAUGUCAACUUAAUUUUACCGAUCUUGGUCGAGUGAUAUCGCUGAAUGGAAGAGAUUUAACACUACUCUAUGUUUUUUUAAGUAACCAAUUAAAACGUGCCCUAUCCGAUGCAUCACCUAUUAUUCUUUACUGGAAAUAUCAUAUCCUAACCAUGGUCACCUCACCAACCUACAACAAUAGACAACAUGUAUGAAAAGUGUUAGCAAUAUUUAUUUGGCAAUCGACAGAGAAAUGAAAUUAGGAUUGAAAUUAAGCAUAUUGACUAGAUCUCUUGCCAUAAAUUUGUUUGAGUUUUUUACCAAUCUUUUUUUUUUUUUUUUUUUGAGACAGGAGGAACUAGCUUGUAGCCAUAAACUCCCGGUGACGCUAGCGCAGGACCCUCCACCACGACGUCACACUUAAGACACUUAGCGUCUCUACUGGGUUUUGAACCUCUUAUCUCUGGGCUGAGGAUCAGUAGGGCUUUAUCCCGUAGGGCCACCACGGUUGGUAGUCUUUUUUGCCAAUCUUCGUGGUCGAUAAAUUGGACAAUGACUGACUUGCGUUUAGGUUUUUUAAAUUGUCUACUAGAGGCAUUUCGAGAUUGAAAAGUCCAACCAAACCUCCUACGGUCCUCUUCAACUACUCUCUCCCCACCUUUCCAAUCCUUUCUUCCUUCUUCAUCUUCUCUUCCUCGAGAAAAUCUUCACUGAACGUCAAGGGAUCGACAGAAGCAUGGAUCGAGAGCAAGAAGAGAUGCAGUUCCUCGGCCUCGUCGGCAUCUGCAAAGAGUCCUGCAAGGUCAUCUUCUCAUGGAGGAAGAUCUUCACCCAGAUCACCUUGGCCCUGAUCCUCCCUCUCGCCUUCGUCUUCCUCCUCCACAUGGAAGUCUCCGACAUCCUCUUGUCGAAGAUCGUCCACAACGAGAUCCAGCUCGACGAGACCCGCCCCAAUACUUCCCGAAGCGACAGGAUCUCCAGCGUCCUCUCCAAGGAGUGGGCCGUCUUCCUGCUGAUCAAGGCCCUCUACUUCACCGCCCUCCUCGUGUUCUCCCUCCUCUCAACCUCAGCCGUCGUCUACACUAUCGCAUGCAUCUAUACGGGCCGCGAGGUCGCGUUUCGGAAGGUCAUGAGCGUGGUCCCGAGGGUCUGGAGGCGGCUGAUGGUCACCUUCCUGUGCAUCUUCCUGGCCAUGUUCUUGUACAAUGUGAUUGCCGGGGUGAUCCUGCUCACGUGCGCAAUCUUUGUCGGCGACUCAAACUUCGGCAUCCUGAUCCUCAUCCUUCUAGUGAUCGCAUACUUGGUCGGGUUCAUGUACAUGACCGCAGUGUGGCAAUUGGCGAGCGUGGUCUCCGUCCUGGAGGAAGAUUACGGGGUCAAGGCCAUGAUCAAGAGCAAGAACCUGAUAAAGGGCAAGAUAAUUGUGUCCAUAAUCAUAUUCUUCAAGCUCAGCACAUCCUUACACCUAGUUCAAUUCGCGUUCGAGAAGUUGGUCGUUUAUGGCCGCUCGGCAGGGACAUUAGGCAGGUGUGGCUAUGGAGUUCUGUGUUUCUUUCUUCUUUCCAUGCUGAUGGUGUUCGGGCUCGUCGUCCAGACGGUGAUCUACUUCGUCUGCAAGUCGUACCACCACGAGAACAUCGACAAGUCGGCGCUGUCGGAUCAUCUCGAGGUCUAUCUCGGAGAGUAUGUUCCUCUCAAAUCCAAGGAUGUUCAGCUUGAGCAAUACGACAUUUGACUCAUUGUUCGUGUUCUUCUUAUCCUUGUUCCUUUUUCUGUUUUUCUUCUGUGGGACGAGAUAUUUUGAUACUUGAUAACUUAUGCACUAUAAAAAUAUCAAAGGAAAAAUAUAUUUUCUGCAUCUUUUUAGCCAGUAGCAAAUGGUUAAGUUAGAUGUAAGCUCUUAAUUUUGUUUAGAUAUAUGUAAUAAUUAAACCGUAGUCUAUUAUUUUUUGUGCCUGGUGUGGCUGAUUUGAGCCACCAUGUCUUACCCAAGGCGCGUUGACUUUGAAUAAUGGAGUUUUCCAAGUAAUUACGCGAUGCACG